rnacentral:rRNA from 1 species
GACGAACGCUGGCGGCGUGCUUAACACAUGCAAGUCGAACGGAAAGGCCCUGCUUUUGUGGGGUGCUCGAGUGGCGAACGGGUGAGUAACACGUGAGUAACCUGCCCUUGACUUUGGGAUAACUUCAGGAAACUGGGGCUAAUACCGGAUAGGAGCUCCUGCUGCAUGGUGGGGGUUGGAAAGUUUCGGCGGUUGGGGAUGGACUCGCGGCUUAUCAGCUUGUUGGUGGGGUAGUGGCUUACCAAGGCUUUGACGGGUAGCCGGCCUGAGAGGGAGACCGGCCACAUUGGGACUGAGAUACGGCCCAGAGUCCUACGGGAGGCAGCAGUGGGGAAUAUUGCACAAUGGGCGGACGCCUGAUGCAGCAACACCGCGUUCGGGAUGACGGCCUUCGGGUUGUAAACCGCUUUCGCCUGUGACGAAGCGUGAGUGACGGUAAUGGGUAAAGAAGCAACGGCUAACUACGUG